GCUCUGUAGUAUAGUUUGAAGUCAGGUCUUGUGAUCCUUCCAACAUUGAUUUUUAGGGUUGGAAUUGCUUUGGGUAUUCUGGGUCUUUCAUUCUUCCAAAGGCACUUUAGAAAUAUUUUAUGUAGUUCUGUGAAAAAAAUCUCAUUGGGGUAUUUUGAUGGGGAUUACAUUGAAUCUGUGUAUUACUUUUGGUUUUAUGUUCACUUUAGCAAUAUUCAUUCUGCUUAUCUCUGAACGUGGGAGUUCUCUCCAUCUUCUUGUGUCUUCUUCAGUUUCUUUCUUCAAUGUUCUAUGAUUUACAUUGUAGAGGUCUUUUAACGCCUUGGUUAAUACUCCAAGGUAUUUUCUUUUUCAAGGUUAUCAGGAAUGGUGUUGGUUUUCUGAUUUCUUUCUCAGGUGAUUCAUUAUUGGGGUAUUGGAUCUUCUAAGUAUAGAAUUGUUAAAUUUGCAAUCAUUGAUGAUUCGACUUCUUCUUUUUCUAUUUUUAUCCCAUUGAUUUCCUUCUCUUGCCUAUUUACUCUGCCUAGAAUUUCUAGUAGUAUAUUGAAUAGGAGGCAUGAGUGUAGACAUCCUUUUCUUGUUCUAAAUUUUCAUGGAAAUGCUUUCAGUUUUUUCCCAUUCACUAUGAUGUUGGCUUUGGCUUUGUUGAAUAUAGACUUUAUGAUGAGGUAAGUUCCUUCUAUGCCUAGUUUCCUUGGUGUCUUUAUC
rnacentral:lncRNA from 1 species